rnacentral:rRNA from 1 species
GGAGGUAAGAGGUACGUACAGGGUAGGAGUGAAUACUUUGUAAUCCCUGUGGGACCACCUGUGGCGAAGGCGUCUUACCAGAACGGGUUCGACGGUGAGGGACGAAAGCUGGGGGCACGAACCGGAUUAGAUACCCGGGUAGUCCCAGCCGUAAACGAUGCUCGCUAGGUGUCAGGCAUGGCGCGACCGUGUCUGGUGCCGCAGGGAAGCCGUGAAGCGAGCCACCUGGGAAGUACGGCCGCAAGGCUGAAACUUAAAGGAAUUGGCGGGGGAGCACAACAACGGGUGGAGCCCUGCGGUUUAAUUGGACUCAACGCCGGACAACUCACCGGGGGCGACAGCAAUAUGUAGGCCAAGCUGAAGACUUUGCCUGAAUCGCUGAGGAGUGGUGCAUGG